rnacentral:rRNA from 1 species
UACGUAGGGUGCAAGCGUUGUCCGGAAUUAUUGGGCGUAAAGAGCUCGUAGGCGGUUUGUCGCGUCUGCUGUGAAAACCCGAGGCUCAACCUCGGGCCUGCAGUGGGUACGGGCAGACUAGAGUGCGGUAGGGGAGAUUGGAAUUCCUGGUGUAGCGGUGGAAUGCGCAGAUAUCAGGAGGAACACCAGUGGCGAAGGCGGAUCUCUGGGCCGUAACUGACGCUGAGGAGCGAAAGCAUGGGGAGCGAACAGG